rnacentral:rRNA from 1 species
UACAGGGGUCUCAAGCGUUUGUUCGGAAUUACUUGGGCGUAAAGGGCUCGUAGGCGGCCAACUAAGUCGGAUGUGAAAUCCCCAGGCUUAACCUGGGAACUGCAUCCGAUACUGGAUGGCUUGAAUCCGGGAGAGGGAUGCAGAAUUCCAGGUGUAGCGGUGAAAUGCGUAGAUAUCUGGAGGAAUACAGGUGGCGAGGCGUCCUGGACCGGCAUUGACGCUGAGUGAGCGAAAAGCCAGGGGAGCAAACGGG